GACGAACGCUGGCGGCGUGCUUAACACAUGCAAGUCGAACGGUGAAGUACCUUCCUUUUGGUGGGUGUGGAUGAGUGGCGAACGGGUGAGUAACACGUGAGUAACCUGCCCCCUUCUUCUGGAUAACCGCAUGAAAGUGUGGCUAAUACGGGAUAUUCUGUGCCUGCUGCAUGGUGGGUGUGGGAAAGAUGCGCUUUUGGGUGUUUUUGGUGGGGGAUGGGCUCGCGGCCUAUCAGCUUGUUGGUGGGGUGAUGGCCUACCAAGGCGGUGACGGGUAGCCGGCCUGAGAGGGUGGACGGUCACACUGGGACUGAGACACGGCCCAGACUCCUACGGGAGGCAGCAGUGGGGAAUAUUGCACAAUGGGCGCAAGCCUGAUGCAGCGACGCCGCGUGAGGGAUGGAGGCCUUCGGGUUGUAAACCUCUUUCGCCAGUGAAGCAGGCCUGUCCCUUGUGGGUGGGUUGACGGUAGCUGGAUAAGAAGCGCCGGCUAACUACGUG
rnacentral:rRNA from 1 species